rnacentral:rRNA from 1 species
UACGAAGGGUGCUAGCGUUGUUCGGAAUCACUGGGCGUAAAGCGCGCGUAGGUGGCUUACCAAGUCAGAGGUGAAAGCCUGGAGCUCAACUCCAGAACUGCCUUUGAAACUGGUAGGCUUGAGUGUCGGAGGGGAUAGCGGAAUUGCUAAUGUAGAGGUGAAAUUCGUAGAUAUUAGCAGGAACACCGGUGGCGAAGGCGACUAACUGGACGUGUAUUGACGCUGAGGUAUGAAAGCGUGGGGAGCAAACAGG